rnacentral:rRNA from 1 species
AACUAAAUAGGAUUCCCUCAGUAAUGGCGAAUGAACAGGGAAAAGCUCAAGCUGGAAAUUGGGGCCUCUGGCCUUGAAUUGUAAUCUCAAGAUGUAUUGCUAACGGUGGCGCAGGUGUAAGCCUCUUGGAAAAGAGAAUCAUUGAGGGUGAGAAUCCUGUUUGUCAUCUGCAGUCUUCCGUGCACGGCAUACAUUCUAAGAGUCACGUUCCUCGGGAUUGGAGCGCAAAGUGGGUGGUAAAUUUCAUCUGAAGCUAAAUAUGGGUUCGAGACCGAUAGCAAACAAGUACCAUGAGGGAAAGAUGAAAAGGACUUUGAAAAGAGAGUUAAAAGUGCCUGAACUUGCUGAAAGGAAAGCGGAUGGAACCAGUGUUGCUUGGUGAGAUUGUUGCGUGUUACAGUGAUUGCUUGUUGUGCCAGCGCAAGCGGUACAGUGAGUUUUGAUCUAGACGCGCGCGAUGCUUCUUGCCUUGUGUGUCAUCGCCAGUGUGGUAGUGUGGACAACUCAAGGGACAUGGUAGCCUGCCCUCGGGUGUGCGAAUGUGCCUUGUAGAACGGACCGCCAUACUGAUUGUGACGAAAUGGUUCUAUUCGACCCGUCUUGAAACACGGACCAAGGAGUCUAACAUAUGUGCAAGUUCUUGGGUGGAGAAACCUACGUGCGCAAUGAAAGUGAUCACUGAGACUCUUGCAUCAGCAGCCGACCGAUCAAUUGGGAGAGGUUUGAGCAUGAGCAUAUCUGUUAGGACCCGAAAGAUGGUGAACUAUGCCUGAGAAGGGCGAAGUCUGGGGAAACUCAGAUGGAGGCUCGUAGCGAUACUGACGUGCAAAUCGUUCGUCAUACUUGGGUAUAGGGGCGAAAGACUAAUCGAACCAUCUAGUAGCUGGUUCCCUCCGAAGUUUCCCUCAGGAUAGCUGGAGUUGAACAGUUUUAUCAGGUAAAGCGAAUGAUUAGAGGAAUCGGGGGCGUGCUGUCCUCGACCUAUUCUCAAACUUUAAAUGGGUAAGCUCCAGUUGUUACUUAAUUGAACUUCUGGGAUAAAUUGCAACUCUAAGUGGGCCAUUUUUGGUAAGCAGAACUGGCGAUGAGGGAUGAACCUAACGUUGGGAUAAGGUGCUUAACUGCUCGCUCAUCAGAUACCAUAAAGGGUGUUGGUUCAUUUUAACAGCAGGACGGUGGUCAUGGAAGUCGAAAUCCGCUAAGGAGUGUGUAACAACUCACCUGCCGAAUGGACUAGCCCCGAAAAUGGAUGGCGCUUAAGCGGGUGACCGAUACCCAACCAUUGCUGCAAUUGUGACGCAGCAAUGAGUAGGAGGGCAUGGGGGCUUGUGAUGAAGCUUU